UCAAGUGAAUAAGUGCAUACGGUGGAUGCCUUG
rnacentral:rRNA from 1 species